rnacentral:rRNA from 1 species
UACGAAGGGGGCUAGCGUUGCUCGGAAUCAUUGGGCGUAAAGGGUGCGUAGGCGGGUCUUUAAGUCAGAGGUGAAAUCCUGGAGCUCAACUCCAGAACUGCCUUUGAUACUGAGGAUCUUGAGUUCGGGAGAGGUGAGUGGAACUGCGAGUGUAGAGGUGAAAUUCGUAGAUAUUCGCAAGAACACCAGUGGCGAAGGCGGCUCACUGGCCCGAUACUGACGCUGAGGCACGAAAGCGUGGGGAGCAAACAGG